UUACGACCAUAUCAUGUUGAAACACUGGUUCUCAUACAAUCACUGAACUUAAGCUAUGUUGAGCCUGGUCAGUACCUAGCUGGGUGACCACUUGGGAAUACCAGGUUCUGUAAG